GAGCAACCGUGCCCCUUAGCUCCGGGAUAGCUCCGGGAAACCGGAAUUAAUACCGGAUACAACACCGGCCGACAUCGGCCGGUGUGGAAAGAAUUUUCGGCUAGGGAUGGACUCGCGGCCUAUCAGCUUGUUGGUGGGGUAACGGCCUACCAAGGCGACGACGGGUAGCCGGCCUGAGAGGGCGACCGGCCACACUGGGACUGAGACACGGCCCAG
rnacentral:rRNA from 1 species